CUAGAGAGAGAGUUUUUAUGAGGGAGAGCUUCUUAUGAGAGAGAGAUUAGGUGUACGAGGAUUGAGAGUAUAAUUUUUUUUUAUAAUUUUUUUUUCUCAUAGUGAAGUUUGCAUAUCCUGUGGAGGUGAGUCUUUUGGCUGAUCCACAUAUUUGAUUGUGUUUCUGUUAUAUUUCUUCUUUCUUUCUGCUAUGACAUGUAGUAUCGAAAAGAUCCUGUAGAAGUAGUAUCC
rnacentral:lncRNA from 1 species